AAGGAAAGACAAGACAGGUGCUGCAUGGCUGUGGUCAUCUUGUGUCGUGAGAUGUUGGGUUAAGUCCCGCAACGAGCGCAACCCUUGUCCUUAGUUGCCAGCACGUAAUGGUGGCAAUUUUAGGGAGACUGCCGGUGCCAAACCGGAGGAAGGUGGGGAGGACGUCAAGUCUUCAUGGCCCUUACGGCCAGGGUUACCCACUUAUUCCAAGGGUCGGUACAGAGGGUUGCGAAGCCGGGAGUUGGAGCCAAUCCCAGAAAACCGAUUUCAGUCCGGAUUGGAGUUUGCAACUUGACUCCAUGAAGUUGGAAUCUCUAGUAAUCGCGAAUCAGGUAUGUCGCGGUGAAUACGUAGCC
rnacentral:rRNA from 1 species